rnacentral:rRNA from 1 species
AACGACUCUCGGCAACGGAUAUCUCGGCUCUCGCAUCGAUGAAGAACGUAGCGAAAUACGAUACUUGGUGUGAAUUGCAGAAUCCCGUGAACCAUCGAGUUUUUGAACGCAAGUUGCGCCCAAAGCUAUUAGGCUAAGGGCACGUCUGCCUGGGCGUCACGC